AAGCAGAUGAGCCUUCACUCUUGAAUAGGUGCCUGGAUAAGUUUUGAGGCAGAAAUUGCACUUGAAUUUGAUGUUUCCUCCACGGCUACUGGACGAAGCAGUACCGGUUUCAUUGACAACUCUCUGAACAUAAGCCCAGAGAGGAUAUUUUGGAUCCACCCCACCAGGUCCAUGCUGCCCUGAGUGCCCUCCCUCACUCUCACCCACUGAUGAUUGGCUCCCAGAUG
rnacentral:lncRNA from 1 species